rnacentral:lncRNA from 1 species
CAAUGGAACUUGACGAAGAGAACUUUUCCAGAUUUGGAAACAAGAGUGUAGGUGUGGACACCGAAACCUUCCAUGUGCCUGUAAUCUUGUGGAAUACCAACAUCAUCAAACAUCCAGCACCAUGUGAGCAAACUCUCCGGUAAAUGGGACAUGUAGUCCAAUAUCCUCCAGUACUCCUGGAUGUUGGUUUUGGGGUUCGGUUUCAACGCGUGGACCACAUCUGGGAAUUGAAUCCCGUCGCGGAUGAAGAACACCGGAGUGUUGUUACCAACAAGAUCAAAGUUCCCCUGAGUUUAUAACAAAGCAGCAGCAGCAAGACACACGUUCAGUAUACUGAUUCUCAAGAAGCCAGAGGAGAUCAACAAUGGAAAAAGGUAAUCUUUUAGCACACUAUACCUCUCUGGUGUAGAACUUAACGGCGAAACCACGAAUAUCCCUCAUGGUUUCAGGGCUGGCACGCUCGUGAACGACGGUGGAGAAACGGACGAUAACGGGAGUUUGAACACCAGGUGCUCGGAGAAAAUCAGCACAGGUGAGGUUUGAAAUGUCAUGGGUGACCUCAAAGAAACCCUUGGCACUGAUUCCUCUGGCAUGAACCACUCUCUCAGGAAUCCUUUCUCUGGUGAAAUUCGCAACUUUCUCGAUCAGAUGGUAGUCUUCGAGAAGAACCGGACCUGCC